rnacentral:rRNA from 1 species
CUUCGGGGGACAAAGUGACAGGUGGUGCAUGGUUGUCGUCAGCUCGUGUCGUGAGAUGUUGGGUUAAGUCCCGCAACGAGCGCAACCCUUAAGCUUAGUUGCCAUCAUUAAGUUGGGCACUCUAAGUUGACUGCCGGUGACAAACCGGAGGAAGGUGGGGAUGACGUCAAAUCAUCAUGCCCCUUAUGAUUUGGGCUACACACGUGCUACAAUGGACAAUACAAAGGGCAGCGAAACCGUGAGGUCAAGCAAAUCCCAUAAAGUUGUUCUCAGUUCGGAUUGUAGUCUGCAACUCGACUACAUGAAGCUGGAAUCGCUAGUAAUCGUAGAUCAGCAUGCUACGGUGAAUACGUUCCCGGGUCUUGUACACACCGCCCGUCACACCACGAGAGUUUGUAACACCCGAAGCCGGUGGAGUAACCUUUUAGGAGCUAGCCGUCGAAGGUGGGACAAAUGAUUGGGGUGAAGUCGUAACAAGGUAGCCGUAUCGGAAGGUGCGGCUGGAUCACCUCCUUUCUAAGGA